AAGUUUUAGUUUUGUUUAUACAACUGACGCUUUUCUGUGCAAUAAUUUGCUAUUCGUCAGUGGAAAUCGUAUAAAAGGAGAAAAAUAUGGCCCAAAAAUAUCAUUCAGCAAAAUGAAGUUUAUCGUUAUUCUAGCUGUGCUCUGCUUUUGCGUUCAAGGAAGCCUACAACAGUGCUUCGGACAAAAUUACGGUCAAGGAUGGGGUUGCGGCAACAUACAAGGCGGUGGUGGAUGUGGUGGAUGUGGUAGCAGUAUCAACCCUGAAGUUCAAUUUACAAUUUACCAGAUUUUGUUUCACUUGACAUCUACCACAACUACAACAACAGCAGCGCCAGCACCUUAACACAAAUAGCGGCCUUUGUGAAAAUAUGAAUUGAAUUUAAUAAAUUUGUCGACAGUUACCUA